rnacentral:rRNA from 1 species
AGAGUUUGAUCCUGGCUCAGGACGAACGCUGGAGGUAUGCCUCAUACAUGCAAGUCGAACGAGAUUCGGUGGAGCUUGCUCUACCGAUGAGAGUGGCGCACGGGUGAGUAACGCGUGGGUAACCUGCCUCGAAGUUUGGGAUAACAUUGGGAAACCAAUGCUAAUACCGACUAAUUUUUAUUAUCGUAUGAUGAUUUAAUAAAAGAUGCCCUCUUCUAUGGUAUCGCUUCGAGAGGGGCCUGCGUCCUAUUAGCUAGUUGGUGGGGUAACAGCCUACCAAGGCGAAGAUGGGUAGCCGGCUUGAGAGAGUGAUCGGCCACACUGGAACUGAGACACGGUCCAGACUCCUACGGGAGGCAGCAGUAGGGAAUAUUCCGCAAUGGGCGAAAGCCUGACGGAGCAAUACCUCGUGAGUGAUGAAGGCUUUAGGGUCGUAAAGCUCAGUCAGCAGGGAAGAAGGGCUAUAGUUCGAAUAGGGCUAUAGUUUUGACGGUACCUGCAGAGGAAGCCACGGCUAAUUACGUGCCAGCAGCCGCGGUAAUACGUAAGUGGCAAGCGUUAUCCGGAUUUACUGGGCAUAAAGAGCGUGUAGGUGGUAUCUUAAGUCAGGUGUAAAAGGCUACAGCUUAACUGUAGUAAGCAUUUGAAACUGAGAUACUUGAGGUCAGUAGAGGAAAGUGGAACUCACAGUGUAGCGGUGAAAUGCGUAGAUAUUGUGAGGAACACCAGUGGCGAAGGCGGCUUUCUGGACUAGAUCUGACGCUGAGGCACGAAAGCAUGGGGAGCGAACGGGAUUAGAUACCCCGGUAGUCCAUGCCGUAAACUUUGUUCACUAGGUG